CCUGAAUGGACGUUUCUGAUUAUAAAUGUAAGAACAAGUCUCUAAUUCUCUCCAGUUUACGUGUUUCUGUCACCAUUUGACAUUUCUUCCCUUAUAUAACGCGCGGUGUUUCCUUUACUGGCCAAAACAUGGCAAUGUAAAACUCGACGCGCACGUGGGUUGCCAGAUUGAGGUACACGCAACAGGAAUGAUUGCGACGAGCCUUACACUGUCAACUACUGGCAUGGCAGAGCAACAGUUUGAAGACAAUCUAGCUGCUGUUGUAGGCAGUAGAUGGUGAGGAAUCUCACUAGGAUUUGGAAAAACAACGGAAAACCAUGAGAGAAUCAGGUGUUUACAAUAAGGCUUUUGGGAGAUAUAGUACAAAGUAUCAGGAAGUUCACGGGGUCACCGGCCAGAUGUAAAUCUGCAUUACCCACAUGAGCACCGCAGCUACAACCUGUCAAGACUCCACAAGGUCACACGCCUGUUCUGAAGAGGUCAUUGAAAACACGGAACAUGAGAUGGACAGGAAAUGGCAUCUUAAAUAUCAGGAAAUUAACCAGAUCUAAAACUGAAUCCAAAACCGGAUUCAAAGGGCGGACCUGGACAGUGUCAAAGCUCGGUCAUACGAGGGAAGAGACAGCCGUGGACCCAAAAAGGAAAAAAGACAGCAGUUUUCGAGAGCGCCGUCGACCUGCGAGCAGAUGUUGGACCUUUCAGCGAAUCCAAAAAACAACACGGCCGCUGCUGAAAUAAACGGUAAAGAAUGUUAAAAAAGGAAAUGCGUACACAGGCUUGAGUGAUGUGUAAGUAUGCAAUUACGGGGGGAAAAAUCUCAAUGAAUGA